rnacentral:rRNA from 1 species
AUUGAACGCUGGCGGCAGGCCUAACACAUGCAAGUCGAGCGAGCGGCGGACAGGUGAGUAAUGUCUGGGAAACUGCCUGAUGGGGGGGGAUAACUACUGGAGACGGUAGAUAAUACCCCGUACCCUCCGAUAUGCCCAGAUGUGAUUUGCUGGUAGGUGGGGUAACGGCUCACCUAGGCGACGAUCCCUAGCGGGUCUGAGAGGAUGACCAGCCACACGGGAACUGAGACACGGUCCAGACGCCUACGGGAGGCAGCAGUGGGGAAUAUUGCACAAUGGGCGCAAGCCUGAUGCAGCCAUGCCGCGUGUGUGAAGAAGGCCUUCGGGUUGUAAAGUACUUUCAGCGGGGAGGCGUUACCCGCAGAAGAAGCACUGGCUAACUCCGUGCCAGCAGCCGCGGUAAUAC